UUUUUUUUUUAUUUUUUUUUUUUUUUAUGCUCCUAAAAUAUAUGUAACAUUUAAAAUAUUCAUUUACAAUGCAUUUUAUAAAAAUAAGUACUAAGAAAAAAUGUGUUACUAAUAUUAUCAUAUUAUAUUUAUUAGUAAAAAUAAUAGCUAUAGUUUUAUGCAAAAAUAACAUUAUCAACAAUAAUAACAAUAGCAUAUUUAAAAAUACAAAUGUUUUAUGUUCUAACUUGUCUAAAUAUUUUAAAAUAGAACAGAAUAAGACAAAAAGAAAAUAUGCUAAUUUCAUUUAUAAUAAUAAUAAUAAUGUUAAUAAUAAAGUAAUUAUUAAUGAAAAAUGUUAUAAAUUGAAUGAUGAUUUGAAAAAUAUAAUAUUACUGUUUGGUAGAAUAGCAGAAUAUUAUUAUCCUAAUACAGUCGAACAAUUUAAUCUUUUUAAAGAACCAUAUAGUAAAUAUAUUCAUACUAAUUAUAAAAACAAUUCAACUAAAUGGAAACAAGUUUUUAACAAUAAUGUAAAAAUUAAUAAAAAUAUUUUUUAUAAAAAAAUAUGUCAGCUCAAAUUUAAGUGGCCAAUUGAUGAAGAUGAAAAUAUUACAGAACAUCACUUUUAUAACCUAAUUAUUGAAAGAUGUUCAAACAAUAUUAAUGUACUCCGGAAUCACAUUUAUAAUAUGAAAAUACUGUUGGACAAAAUUUUAAAACAUAAAAAAAAAAAAUAUAUAAUUACUAAUACUAAUGAUUAUCAAAAUGAUGAAAACUUUAAGUUAACUAAACAAAAUGAAAUAGAUGAAAAAAAUGCAGUUGUGCAAAAACUAUAUAAACAGCUAGAAAAAGAAUUAUUUUUAAGUCAUAAUCAUGAAGAAAAAAAUGAAAAAAAUUCAUCUGAUAAUGUGAAAUUAUUAAUGGACUUAAAAAUAAAUUUUUUGGAAAAAUCGAAGCAUUCUUCUUUUAAUAAUAUUUUUAAACAAUACAAUAGAUCAUAUAAUAGAUUUCUUGUUAAUGAAAUUUUUAAUAAAGAGUAUCCAUCUAGAAAAACAACUGAUACCUUUUUAAAUCUGAUUUUUGAAAAAAAUGUUAAUGAUUUUUCAUAUGUUUCCUUUUUAAAACAUUUACACAAAUUAGGGAAAAAAAUCGAACUCUUUAAUUGUAACAAUAAUUCAAAUAUUUAUUUUGAUCAUUUUUAUUUUCUUAUGAAAAAUGAAAUUAAAAAAAAUACUAUCCUUUUUCGAAAAAAAAAAAUGCAGCAACCUUCUUCUGAAAUUAGUAAAACAAAAAAAGAAAAUGAUACCUAUGUAGUCUUAACACAAAACGAGCACACUGUAUUAACGGAAAACGACCAUACUAUAUUAGAAGAAAAUGAACGUACUACAUCAGCAGAAGACAACAAGAAAAAAAAAAGACAAUUUUAUUUUAUUACAGAACAAGAUAUUAUUAAUAAUAACUUUACUAAAACAAAAGAUAAUCUAAAAAGCCCCAAAAAAAGUAAUCAAAUAGAAAGCGUAAAAAACAAUUCAGACACUUCGAUAGAAACGAAUUUAAACAGUAAAAAAAACUGUAAUAAAAAUGAAAAAUUAAAUGCAGGCAUUAUUGCAAAUGCAAAAAACUAUAGAACAAUUUUAAAAAACAAACUUAUUUCGAUA
rnacentral:lncRNA from 1 species